UGCGUGGGCUGGCUUCCGGCAGCCCUGGCCGGGGACCCGGAGGAGGGCGAGCCGGGAUGAGGCCCCCGAGCCUGGGAGGGGGAGAGGCCGGGUGGGAGGCCUGGCGCAGGCGUCCACCUGACCCGGUUCAGACUUUCUCAAACCCACACGGCCGUCCACCGUCCACCUGGACCGGUGUCGCCCGUAUCACUUCCGCUGCGCACUGAGCACGGACGCUCGUGACGUGUGGUGGUGCACGCGCUGUUUGCUCCAGUCCUUGUAACCUGAAGUCUCCGCCAUCAAGAUCGUGGUCCUCAUCUGCACACUCACGUUCCUGGCAGAAGGUGGAAAACCCAGGGGUCCAUCAGCAAACAAAACGUGGUCUAUCCAUACAGUGGAACAUCACUCAGUCUUAACAAGGAAGAAAACGCUGACACCUGCUGCAGCAAGGGCCUCGAGGACAGGAUGCUGAGUGCAACCGGCCAGUCACAGAAGGACAAGUACUGUGUCAUUCACUCAUAGGAGAUCGUCAAAUUCAGAGACACAAAGUAGAAUGGGAUGGGGGGGGGAGGGAAGGGCUGGGGGGAGGGGGACAGCCGAGUUCUUAUUUAAUGAGGACGGACUUUCGGUUUGGGAGGAUGAAAAAGUGUUGGAGGUGGUUGCACGACAGUGUGAAUGUAAUGAAUACCACAGAACUGUGCACCUAAAAAUGGCUGAAUGGUAAAUUUUGUGUUUGUGCAUUUUACCACGAUUUAAAAAAACAAAAACAAAACCGAAAUGCCUCCAUGCACCCAAGAGCUCAUCCUGCACGGGGAUCUACACACCAAGACUACCUGGAAGGCCCCUGCACCUUCCAACCAGAAGUAUUUGUCUCCUGGGCGGGCUUGCAUGGGCCUGGCCAGAAUAGCCUCAUGCAGCUGGGCCUUGAGACCAGUGAGUGAAAUCUGGGCACUUCACUUAACCUACAAAGAAACAUCACAGUGGCCAGUGGGAACGCUCAAGACUCAAGUGGCCGGGGAAACUGUCCUGCGGGGCCUUACGGGCUUGGAAUUCAGGGCCACAGGAAGUGGGGAGAGGACCUGAAUGUUCCAUGGCCUCCUGGAGAGAAGCCUCACAGCCGGGCAGUACCCCCUCCUAGUGGCCUCCCAGAGGCUCCUCUUUUCCAGAUUCCCAAGUCUGCCCGAGACGGCUUCGGACAGACAUGGUGCCCCUGUGCAGUGUAAAGCCCUCCAACAGAUCCUCUUUAAGGUUCUUGGGGGUCUGCUCUGUCCCAGGAAAGGACACAGCAUCCCGACUACUGGCCCUACCCCAUCCCCACUGUGGCCUCACUAGAGAGUGAAAGCAGAAAGGAAAAGGAGGCUCAGAGAGGUUAAGUGAUAUGCUCAGGGUCACACAGCUGAUAACCUCAGAGCCAGGACCGGAAACCAGUCACUCUGACCACAAAACUCACACUCUCCUACAACUGUGUUUCUCAACUAGGAGUGGGUGAGUGAGUGUGUGGAGAGGAGCCCCAAGACAGACGUGGAUCAGCCCCCAGAGCAUUAGGUUUACUCGGACAUCUGGGGUGGGAGGUGGGGAAGCAAGCCAGUGGAUAAAAUCUUACUUCUUCAUUACUCAACUUCAUCACCUCAUCCCCAUGGUAAAGGGGCAGAGCACAACACCCGUAUGGAUUCUUCAGUAAACCCAGGGACUUCGGGCUGGCAUCCGUCUCAUCUUCUGAGUUCACUGGCCCCCACAAUUAAGGAAACAUUGGUGGAAAAGUUCGAGAAGGUUAUGUUCCAUCUGCCACUUUGGGGAGAAAGUACCACCCCAUCUUGUGACGUGCUUCACGACGACUCACCAAAUGAAAGGAUAAGUCCGCUGGAACAGGUCGGCACGGGUGUCCUUUGUGGCUGCCUCCCAAGCCCCCCAGGUAUACUUCACGUCCACUGCAGAGCCCAACCGCGGCUUGGAUUCACAACCCUGAGAUCAAGACUUACACUGAGAUAAGAGUCAGAUGCUUAACCGACUGAGCCACCCAGGCGCCCUUUGCUGCCUCUAUUCUGGCUGGGACCCACACCCUGCCUUACACAUGCCUUUUAGGACAGAUAAUAUAUGUCUUCCUUAUAAAGGUCGAGGAGUUAAUGAUUUCUUUGGAAUUUUCCAGCACAACAGAUAACAUCUAAGGAGUGACCAGGUUGGGCAUCAUUCCCAAGACCACCGAGCCACCAAGACCCCUGGCUCCGGGGCAUUAGUGCCUCACAGAGGACCUCUAAACACUCGCCUUUGUUCCUGGAUGCCCGAGAAGACGUGUGUACAGGACCACAGUCCUCAGUAAAAACCCCAGAGUCCAAGCAAAGACUCCCCUUUCCGAGUCUCCCAGACACGGUCUGUCCCUGCACUCUGUGUCUGCAAGAAACUCCACUCUCACCUCCUGCUGGCCCGAAUUUGAUGUCACUCCUGCGAGAACCCAAGUACCCUCUUGUUUGGUCCCGUGAGACCCCCUCUGGGUCCUCAGACCCAGCCAGCCUGCAUUAAGGGGGGGGUACCCUGUGGCCCCGGCGCCUCCUGCUUCUCUGGACUUGACCCUGAUCCCGGCCACCCAGCCAUCGCCAGGCAGCGUCUGGGAGAGAGAACGCCCACUGCUUCUCUCACUUGCCCCGGCGGGGAGAGGGCCUGAAGAGGGGUGCAGCAACUCCCUGAGGCGCUGGAGCCUGGGGCGCCCCAGGGAUGACAGAGGCACCGCCCCGGCCCCUGGGUGUGGUGGUCCUUUGUGCCUCCCAGGCUGAGUCCCUGCACCCUUCCAUCAGUCUGUCCAUCUGACACACGGGAACCCGGCCACCCCAGGGUGAGGGGGACAUGAAGGUGCUUCUGAGAGCAUAGCCCUGGCAGACGCUCUGUGUGCUCAGGGGCUCUAGGACCCACAGGGGAGGCUGAGCAGGUGGGACUCCCUUCUUCUCUAAGGGGGGCUGUUGUUGGGCUCCUCAGUAAGACUCCCCCUGACGAGCGAUUAAGCUACUAAAAACCAUUUGAGGCCCCGCCCCCCCCCAUGAGGUGUCCAGUCAUGACCCCCAGGGCUGCACUGCACCAAGACCUCAUCGUUCCUCUUUGGGCCUCCUUACAGAAGGCCCCUUGAGACAGAAGAGCAUUGGACUAAGUCAAACAGACCCGGAAGAAAACCCCAAACAACAGUGGCUGAGAAAGAUGAAAGUUUCGUUUUCUUGCACUCUCAAGACGUUUACAGGUGGCCGGGGCUCGUGCAGCCAGCAGUGUCACAGUGCCAGGACCCUGAGCUCCUUGUAUACUGUGGCUCUGCCGUGCAGUCUUCAUUUCCAACAUCAUCACCUCAUGGUCCAAAAUGGCUGCUAACGCUCCUGCCAUUAGAUCUGCAUUACAGGCAGCAGAAGGAGAAAGGGGAGUAGGGUGUGUCUUGCCCUUUAAGAACCUUUCCUAAUGUCAAACACUAUUUUUACAUCCAGGCCAAAAUUUAGUCACAUGGCACACCUAAGUAUAAUGGAGACUGGGAGGUAUCUUGAUUCCAAGCAGCAAAUGCCCAGCGGGGAGCCCAGGGAGGCUAAAACCAAGGACAGAAGAUGAUCCUGUUUUACAGUUGCUGGUUCCCGGGUUCACGGAUCACCACGAGCGUUCGACGUGAUGACUGAUUUUCCACCUGCAAGCUGACUGUCACAGCCUGGAAGUGUCCGCAAGCUGCACGAGGCCCGGACCUUGCCUGCCUCUCAUGCUGUCUCAAGUGCAGAACAACAGAGACCCCACUAGACCAUGGAUGGAGGAACCCCGAGCCCAGCACCCAGCCUUCAUCCGCUCACCGAUUCUCACAUGGCUUGUAUAAUCACCCCCACUCUGGCGGUGAGCAAACUGAGGCUCACAAUAUGCAAACCUUGUCUGGGACCCAGGACCAAGGACCCAGGACCCGGGCUGCAUGUGACUUUCAUGUGCCCAAGGCAUUUUACCUCCCUGGGCUCCUUCCUCCAUUAAAAAUACAAAAGUUCUGGGGCAUCUGGGUGGCUCAGUCGGCUAAGCAUCCAACUCUUGAUUUCAGCUCAGAUCAUGAUCUCAUCGCCAUGAGAUCCAGCCCCGAGUCAGGCUCUGCACUGAUACCGUGGAGCCUGCUUGGGAUUAUCUCUCUCUCUCUCUCUCUGCUCCUCCCCCCUUCUGUGUUCACACGCCCACGGGCUCGCUCUUUCUCUCUCAAAAUAAACAAACUUUAAAAAAUGUAUGAGGGGCGCCUGGGUGGCUCAGUCGGUUAAGCGUCCGACUUCAGCUCAGGUCAUGAUCUCACUGUUCGUGAGUUCGUGAG